AGAGUUUGAUCCUGGCUCAGGAUGAACGCUGGCGGCGUGCCUAACACAUGCAAGUCGAGCGGUAUAUACUUAAACAAAUCUUCGGAAGAGUGAGAGUAUAGAGAGCGGCGGACGGGUGAGUAACGCGUAGGCAACCUGCCCCAUACAGAGGGAUAGCCUCGGGAAACCGGGAUUAAAACCUCAUAACGCCAAGAGUUCACAUGGGCUUUUGGCCAAAGAUUUAUCGGUAUGGGAUGGGCCUGCGUCUGAUUAGCUAGUUGGUGGGGUAACGGCCUACCAAGGCAACGAUCAGUAGCCGACCUGAGAGGGUAAUCGGCCACAUUGGAACUGAGACACGGUCCAAACUCCUACGGGAGGCAGCAGUGGGGAAUAUUGCACAAUGGGCGAAAGCCUGAUGCAGCAACGCCGCGUGAGCGAUGAAGGCCUUUGGGUCGUAAAGCUCUGUCCUUGGGGAAGAAAAAAAUGACGGUACCCUUGGAGGAAGCCCCGGCUAACUACGUGCCAGCAGCCGCGGUAAUACGUAGGGGGCAAGCGUUAUCCGGAAUUAUUGGGCGUAAAGAGUGCGUAGGUGGUUUUGUAAGACAGGGGUGAAAGGCUAUGGCUCAACCAUAGUAAGCCUUGCGAACUGCAAGACUUGAGUGCAGGAGAGGAAAGUGGAAUUCCUAGUGUAGCGGUGAAAUGCGUAGAUAUUAGGAGGAACACCAGUGGCGAAGGCGACUUCCUGGCUUGUAACUGACACUGAGGCGCGAAAGCGUGGGGAGCAAACAGGAUUAGAUACCCUGGUAGUCCACGCCGUAAACGAUGAGCACUAGGUGUCGGGGUAUCGACCCCUUCGCGCCGCAGCUAACGCAAUAAGUAUCCCGCCUGGGGAGUACGGCCGCAAGGUUGAAACUCAAAGGAAUUGACGGGGGCCCGCACAAGCAGCGGAGCAUGUGGUUUAAUUCGAAGCAACGCGAAGAACCUUACCAAGGCUUGACAUGCAGGUGAUUACUCUUAAUCGAGGAAGCCUUUCGGGGCAGAUAGACAGGUGGUGCAUGGUUGUCGUCAGCUCGUGUCGUGAGAUGUUGGGUUAAGUCCCGCAACGAGCGCAACCCUUAUUGCUAGUUGCCAUCAUUAAGUUGGGCACUCUAGUGAGACUGCCGGAGACAAUUCGGAGGAAGGUGGGGAUGACGUCAAAUCAUCAUGCCCCUUAUGUUCUGGGCUACACACGUGCUACAAUGGGUGUAACAACGGGAAGCGAAACCGCGAGGUGGAGCCAAUCUUCAAAACCGGUCCCAGUUCGGAUUGCAGGCUGAAACUCGCCUGCAUGAAGUUGGAGUUGCUAGUAAUCGCGGAUCAGCAUGCCGUGGUGAAUGCGUUCCCGGGUCUUGUACACACCGCCCGUCACACCAUGGAAGUUGGUA
rnacentral:rRNA from 1 species